GGAACUUCAGCCUCUACUGCAAACCAAAAUGCUCCCAGGAGCCGCAACUGGUUCGUUCUCCCCUGCUCCUCCUCUAGUGUUUAUGCGCCUCUGAAAAACUCUUAAUUGAGUCCAAUCAGGGACAGAAGGAGUACAAACGGAAGAUGUUCACGAAGGAAGGAAGCCUUAAAGGUGAAAGACUCGGGGCAGGGCUGCCCAGGGCAGAAGGUGUACAAGGGUGCCCUGGUCAUGCCCUGAUACUUUUUUUCCCUUCCCACACGACCUGGCCCCAUCUCUCCUUUCUUCUUUUCUUUUCCUUUUAAAUUUUAAGUCUCCAUGGCUGAGCAGAACAGGGAAGCGCGGACGUUAAAGGGGACAGCCUUUUGAGGCUUCCCCUCGAAAGGGUUACCUAACCUGGAACCGACCUACGUUUUCCACCAAGUCACCUCCAUUGCCAGGAAUCCCAGAAGCCCAUGGCGGGAGCAGACGAAAGGAGGAGUCUCCCCAGGGUAGCAUUCUAGGCCCGCGCCAAGUUAAAAAGGAGUGAGAAGGAGAAGGAAGAGGCUCCAACACCCAACUCGUGCCUGAGGGACUUGCCUGGGACGUUCUCUGCGCUCCUCCCCUACCCGCUGCCCGGGCAGUCCUUGAGGGGCUACCACCCCUGUGCUUGAACCUCGGAGAAGUUUCGCCGCUGCAAACGUGAGAAUCUGCAGCUCCACAGGACACCGCCCCCACACGCCCCACCCCACAGCCCGACCCCUGGCGGUGGCGACCUUGGUCACCCAGGAGGCGCCAGUGCACUGGAGGAGGGGCUGCAUUUGGGGCUUUCCUGGGAGCUAGGGGAGGUGGCCCAUUGGGCCACCUCCGGUCGCCGUCCACCACCCGGACUGGCGCCACCAAGCAAACCCAGCCGCCCUGCUCCCCUCUCUGCCCUCCGCGCCCGGACCCUUGCGCCUCUCUGCCCGACUCACCGCGCUCUGCGCAGCAAGGGUCGCAUCGGGUCCCAGAGCUCUGCGCCUCGGGGCUUCGCUUCCCGCCUGUCCUGCGGCACACUUCUCCCUUAUCCUCAGCUGUCCUCCAAGGCCGUCUCUCGACUCUUUUUUUCCGGGUUAAUUUCGUUUCACAUUAAAGCAAAACCCAGCCCCGGAUGUGA
rnacentral:lncRNA from 1 species